rfam:Dipodomys ordii contig_14347, whole genome shotgun sequence.
GGGAAGGUAGCUUAGUGGUAGAGUGCUUGCCUUGCAUGCAUGAGGCCCUGGGUUCAAUUCCUCAGCACCA